rnacentral:rRNA from 1 species
GUCUACAGCCAUACCCCCUGAAUGCACCCGAUCUCAUCUGAUCUCGGAAGCUAAGCAGAGUUGGGCCUGGUUAGUACUUGGAUGGGAGAAUCACUGACCCAGAUGAUU